rnacentral:lncRNA from 1 species
GGGUCUUUGGAUUUUGCCUUCGAGGAGAUAACAGAUCGAGAGAGAAAACGGUGGUGUGGCGGUCAGCUGAUGGCUGUGUGGUGAAGGAAGGCUGGAGUGGAGAGUCAGAGAGAGACAAUAGUAUGGUAUGGUGAGGGGGGUUGGAGAUGAGGGAUCAGUGAGGGAGGCUCAGGUAGGGACAACCGCGCAACGCUUCCACUUUAAUUCUAGUUUGAUGGAACAAAUGGAGACGGAAGUGAAGUGAAGUGAAGCUAGUGAGAUCAGACCUAAAACAAAUCAAAGGCACAUAUUAAAUCUAAAACAAUGAAUGGUUCAAAUAAUUUUCUUAUAAUUAAAAAAUAAUAUAUAUAUAUAUAUAUAAUUGUUUUUUGGGUUCGGUAUGGUAAUACCGAAAAAAUUAAAUGCAAAACCGAAUCCCAUACCGAAACUUUCGGUUUGGUUUGGGAUCGGGAUUUUUUCGGUUUGGUUUGGGAUUUUUGGGAUUUUUCUAGCCCUACUAUUAUCUAUUAUCUAUUAUUAAACUCUCAUUGUCAACUUUUUCUCCAUUUUUUUUUCUAUUUUGCCCUCACUUUUGAUACACAUUAUUGAUAAAAGGAGGGCAAAAUAGUAAUUUUGUACCAUUUGACAAAAUGACAAUCAUAUCCCUAUUUUUUCCUAUUUUACCCUAUUUUUAUACUUAUUUUUCUAAUUUUACCCUUACUUUUGAAACACAAUAUUUACAUAAGAAGGACAAAAUAGUAAUUAUGUAAUAUUAAAAAAAAAUGCACUUGUUAAGAGAAAUUGUUCACACACACAAAGUAUGUGAUCUCUGUUAGUAACUAGUCAGAUAACAAUGUUUCUCGAUGGUGGAGUAGAUGCAACCACCUAAUCACAAUUAUAUUCAAAGUUAAAAUAUGAUGGUAAGGCUGCUCUAGGUUUUCUGUUUAAAAAUUGUUUAGGACAAACUAACCUUGCAAGUUCUUUUUCUAUUGGUAUCUCAAACGUCUUAUUGGCUGAAGCUUUAGCAUUAAAACAAGCAUUUAUUCCAAGAUUUUAAUCUAAAUCCUUCAACAAAAAGCACAAGUACCCUGCUGAAUUCAAUCUACUAUCCAAAAUAUCUGGUAUUCACUGAGAUAAAUUCCCAAUAUCAUAUUUCAACAUACUUUUAAAGAAGCAAACAUGGAAAUUGACGCUUUUGCCAACUUAUGACAUUGUUGACCCUUAAAACUACCAAGCCUACGUGGUGCGCAGGCCGAGUAAUUAAUGAGCUAACUACGUCAUUCGGUUGUGUGCGGGGCGUGCCAACUUGACGGUCAAGCUCGGCCAGGGAGUAAAUUUAUUGAUGUCGAGUUGAGCAUGUUGCUGGCUUCUUGAUCUUUCGACUGCGGCCGAGGAAGGAACACGUCUCGGCCUUCGGGUUCUAGAGCAUGAAGAUACAACUACUAGUUUUGUGAAGUUCAAUAUCAAUUUUGGCUUUCAACAUGCCGAAUAUAGUAACCUGUAACACCUCACUUCACCGAGAAGGCUAAUAAGAUGACCUAUGCCUAUAAGGAUUCGGAAAUCCUUCUCGACCAAGACUUAGAUAGACAAUCAGUCAGCCUUGACACAGUGCUGUUUAUCUAAAUUAAAGGUGUUUCGCGGUUGGUUGAUUCUACGGCAACAGUGCUGUUUAUCCAAAAUGAAGGUGUUCGCUGAUCGGAUCAUUUUUAUAUACAUUUUUACUUCGAAUUCACUCGUCUUUUCUUAGUUAGUUCUUUAUAUUUUUGAGCUAUUUACAUUAUUUUUGUAGUUAUAGGAUCUGUUAUGCAAAUUUACCCUUUAUUGUUACAUGAUAAUACUAAUUUACAUUUUAUAAGCAAGUUAUUAUUACAAUUGCCAAAUGGUGUAAACAAGGUUUGUCCCUCUCUAUGUCUAUAUAGUGAAAGAAUAAAAGAAGAAAUAAAAUAGUGAGGACCGAGAGGUGGGGACGUGAGGACAGCGAAAAAAGAAUCCAAGGCAGAGGAGUAAGCUGCCCUUGCAGCUUUGAAAGGUCAAAAUGGAAUAAGAAAUAAAAGAGGAUAAUUAGGAGGAGGGCAGGCGAAUAGAAGACCAGCUGAAAGAGAAUGAAAACAGCUGCUUGGCAGCUGGAGAGACAAAAAGAAUAAAAGAUGAAAAGGAGCAUGGGGAGACGGACAUAGUGGAAAACGUGAGGAAGCUAAGAGGGACAGGAGGACAGGUGAGCACGGGAAAGGUUAGAAAAGAAUAAGAAGGAGAGUAGGUCAGAAAGGUGGAGUGCACACUGACGGAUUAAAAGAAGAAAAGAAGAGGAAGUGGACAACAGUGCAGAGAGAAAGAAGAAUAAGAAAAUAAAAAUAAGAGGCAGAGCUGGAUAAGACACGGGAAGGUGGAGGAGCUGCCCUGGGCAGCAGAGAGCACUGACGCGGGAAGGAUAGCAGAAAAAGGAAUAAAAAGGGACAAAGGCAGAAAACGUGAGCUGGGGGGGGAGAGGAAAGAAACGGACAGGAGGCUGCCCUUUGGGGUAGCAGAAGAUAGGUGAGUACAGGAUAGAGGUGACU